CCUACGGGAGGCAGCAGUGGGGAAUUUUGGACAAUGGGCGCAAGCCUGAUCCAGCCAUGCCGCGUGCAGGAUGAAGGCCUUCGGGUUGUAAACUGCUUUUGUACGGAACGAAAAGGUUUGGCCUAAUAAGCUGAGCUCAUGACGGUACCGUAAGAAUAAGCACCGGCUAACUACGUGCCAGCAGCCGCGGUAAUACGUAGGGUGCGAGCGUUAAUCGGAAUUACUGGGCGUAAAGCGUGCGCAGGCGGUUAUGUAAGACAGAUGUGAAAUCCCCGGGCUCAACCUGGGAACUGCAUUAGUGACUGCAUAGCUGGAGUACGGCAGAGGGGGAUGGAAUUCCGCGUGUAGCAGUGAAAUGCGUAGAUAUGCGGAGGAACACCGAUGGCGAAGGCAAUCCCCUGGGCCUGUACUGACGCUCAUGCACGAAGACGUGGGAGGACGAACGAGGAGUAGUACUACCGUACGGUACGUACCGACCGACCCGUAACCGUACUAGUCUACGUGGUUGGUUGGUUCGUUC
rnacentral:rRNA from 1 species